UAUACACACAUGUGGUACACCCAGUGUGAUAUUAGGAGUUAUAUCUCCGUAGGAUAUUAUGAAUAAUAUCACAGGGGGUGUACACACAUGGUGAA
rnacentral:miRNA from 1 species